rnacentral:rRNA from 1 species
UACGGAGGGUGCGAGCGUUGUCCGGAAUCACUGGGCGUAAAGGGCGCGUAGGCGGCCUGAUAAGUAGGGGGUGAAAUCCUGCGGCUUAACCGCAGGGCUGCCUUCUAAACUGUCGGGCUCGAGCACAGUAGAGGCAGGUGGAAUUCCCAGUGUAGCGGUGGAAUGCGUAGAGAUCGGGAGGAACACCGGUGGCGAAGGCGGGUCUCUGGGCAAUUCCUGACGCUGAGGCGCGAAAGCGUGGGGAGCAAACGGG